GACGGAGGAUGCAAGCGUUAUCCGGAAUGAUUGGGCGUAAAGCGUCCGCAGGUGGCAGUUCAAGUCUGCUGUCAAAGACCGGGGCUUAACUUCGGAAAGGCAGUGGAAACUGAACAGCUAGAGUAUGGUAGGGGCAGAGGGAAUUCCUGGUGUAGCGGUGAAAUGCGUAGAGAUCAGGAAGAACAUCGGUGGCGAAGGCGCUCUGCUGGACCAUAACUGACACUCAGGGACGAAAGCUAGGGGAGCGAACCGG
rnacentral:rRNA from 1 species